rnacentral:lncRNA from 1 species
GGGACCCCCUGGCAAAAGACGGGGUCCCCUCUUCCCCAAGCGGCAAGCCAUCCCCCUUCCUCCCUUCCCUCCCCCCAGUCUCGGAGAUCAGAGAAGCACCGACUGGGAGAGCUUCGGCAUUUUUGUCAUCCUUUUUAUGCCUGGGUCUUUCCCAGUAGGAGAAAGGAUGGCACCGCAACCUGAGGGCUUGAGGACGGACUUUUAAGAAGAACUUCCCAAAAGAGUUUGAUAAGAAUGGGGUGGACCCAUGGGGCCUGCAGUCACUCUGGCCGACCCUUCGACCCUCAAGAACCUCCAUCAGCGCCAGGGAGCCUGGGCUCGGAACCGCCUCUGCCCCAGCAGCGCCCUCUUUGUGCCCUUCCCUCCCCUUCCUGCGCCCCAAUUUCCAGAGGGUCUAAACACACUGACCCCCAAAGAGAAGCCCUGCAGAGCAGAGACCUCACCCUGAGAAGCCUGCACCCCCUGGACAUCUUGACUCCAUCCUUCAGCAUCCUCUCCCUCACUGUAUCCUGA